UUUAGAGUUUAGGAUUUGCUUAGGAUUUGCUUAGGAUUUGAUUUAGGAUUAGGAUUUAGGAUUUGAUUAGCUUUUGGUAUAGGAUUUAAGAUUUGAUUAGGAUUUGAUUUAAGAUUAGGAUUUGAUUUAGGAUUUAGAAUUUGGUUAGGAUUUGAUUAGGUUAAGGAUUUUAUUAGGAUUUAUUUAGGAUUUAAGAUUUAGUUAGUUUUUGGCCUAAUGUUUGAAUGAAAUUCAAUAGGAUUUUCACUAAGAUUAAAUUAAGAUUGAAUUGAGAUGUAUUUAAGAAAUAUUUCUGAUUAUUCUAAU
rnacentral:lncRNA from 1 species